AUGCGUUGUUGGGUAGGGGAGCGUUCUGUAAGCCUGUGAAGGUGUACUGUGAGGUAUGCUGGAGGUAUCAGAAGUGCGAAUGCUGACAUAAGUAACGAUAAAGCGGGUGAAAAGCCCGCUCGCCGGAAGACCAAGGGUUCCUGUCCAACGUUAAUCGGGGCAGGGUGAGUCGACCCCUAAGGCGAGGCCGAAAGGCGUAGUCGAUGGGAAACAGGUUAAUAUUCCUGUACUUGGUGUUACUGCGAAGGGGGGACGGAGAAGGCUAUGUUGGCCGGGCGACGGUUGUCCCGGUUUAAGCGUGUAGGCUGGUUUUCCAGGCAAAUCCGGAAAAUCAAGGCUGAGGCGUGAUGACGAGGCACUACGGUGCUGAAGCAACAAAUGCCCUGCUUCCAGGAAAAGCCUCUAAGCAUCAGGUAACAUCAAAUCGUACCCCAAACCGACACAGGUGGUCAGGUAGAGAAUACCAAGGCGCUUGAGAGAACUCGGGUGAAGGAACUAGGCAAAAUGGUGCCGUAACUUCGGGAGAAGGCACGCUGAUAUGUAGGUGAAGUCCCUCGCGGAUGGAGCUGAAAUCAGUCGAAGAUACCAGCUGGCUGCAACUGUUUAUUAAAAACACAGCACUGUGCAAACACGAAAGUGGACGUAUACGGUGUGACGCCUGCCCGGUGCCGGAAGGUUAAUUGAUGGGGUCAGCGCAAGCGAAGCUCUUGAUCGAAGCCCCGGUAAACGGCGGCCGUAACUAUAACGGUCCUAAGGUAGCGAAAUUCCUUGUCGGGUAAGUUCCGACCUGCACGAAUGGCGUAAUGAUGGCCAGGCUGUCUCCACCCGAGACUCAGUGAAAUUGAACUCGCUGUGAAGAUGCAGUGUACCCGCGGCAAGACGGAAAGACCCCGUGAACCUUUACUAUAGCUUGACACUGAACAUUGAGCCUUGAUGUGUAGGAUAGGUGGGAGGCUUUGAAGUGUGGACGCCAGUCUGCAUGGAGCCGACCUUGAAAUACCACCCUUUAAUGUUUGAUGUUCUAACGUUGACCCGUAAUCCGGGUUGCGGACAGUGUCUGGUGGGUAGUUUGACUGGGGCGGUCUCCUCCUAAAGAGUAACGGAGGAGCACGAAGGUUGGCUAAUCCUGGUCGGACAUCAGGAGGUUAGUGCAAUGGCAUAAGCCAGCUUGACUGCGAGCGUGACGGCGCGAGCAGGUGCGAAAGCAGGUCAUAGUGAUCCGGUGGUUCUGAAUGGAAGGGCCAUCGCUCAACGGAUAAAAGGUACUCCGGGGAUAACAGGCUGAUACCGCCCAAGAGUUCAUAUCGACGGCGGUGUUUGGCACCUCGAUGUCGGCUCAUCACAUCCUGGGGCUGAAGUAGGUCCCAAGGGUAUGGCUGUUCGCCAUUUAAAGUGGUACGCGAGCUGGGUUUAGAACGUCGUGAGACAGUUCGGUCCCUA
rnacentral:rRNA from 1 species